rnacentral:rRNA from 1 species
UGGGGAAUAUUGCACAAUGGGCGCAAGCCUGAUGCAGCCAUGCCGCGUGUGUGAAGAAGGCCUUCGGGUUGUAAAGCACUUUCAGCGAGGAGGAAGGUGGUGAACUUAAUACGUUCAUCAAUUGACGUUACUCGCAGAAGAAGCACCGGCUAACUCCGUGCCAGCAGCCGCGGUAAUACGGAGGGUGCAAGCGUUAAUCGGAAUUACUGGGCGUAAAGCGCACGCAGGCGGUUUGUUAAGUCAGAUGUGAAAUCCCCGGGCUCAACCUGGGAACUGCAUUUGAAACUGGCAAGCUAGAGUCUCGUAGAGGGGGGUAGAAUUCCAGGUGUAGCGGUGAAAUGCGUAGAGAUCUGGAGGAAUACCGGUGGCGAAGGCGGCCCCCUGGACGAAGACUGACGCUCAGGUGCGAAAGCUGGGGAGCAAACAGGAUUAGAUACCCUGGUAGUCCACGCUGUAAAACGAUGUCGAUUU